rnacentral:lncRNA from 1 species
CUGAUGUAUGGAUGGGUGACCCAGUGUAAGUAGUGUAUCUAGCAGUGUAAGUCACAUUGGUGAAUAAGGUGUGGGCUGAUAACACUACGUAUAGUUCAUUGGGAGUUGCUUUGGAGAAAAGCAUCUGCUAAAUAAAUAAAUGUAAUGUUUAUUUCGGUGUUUCUAGGUGUCUUCCUAAUUUUCAUGAUGCCAACCGUACCAGCAAAUAAUCUAAAGGAGCAACUCGAACGACAUACAGGUCAGAACAAGAUGUCCUUGUCAAAGGCCAAAGCGGGGACUUUUGCCUUUAAAAAGAAAUCUGAGUCAUGUGUUGCUAAACCUGCAGUUCCUUCAGAGGUAAAUGCAAAUACUUUAGUCAACAGGAACAUCAAGGUCCUCUACCACAAGACAGUUUUUAAUACUUUGACAUCUUUAACUGAGACUGAAAGACAACCAGCAAAAUCCAGCAGCUUCUUCACUACCCCCAAGCAACAGGUUAUGGCACCGACAGUAGACAGGUCACCUGUUUGCAGUUCAACUCCAGCAUUUUCCACUUCUAAAGUUCCUUCUGCACGAUCAAAGCCACACAUAGCAUCCACAGCAAACAGCUGUAGCCAAAAUAUUGAGCUUGACAGCUCUUACAUCAUUGACAUUGACAGCUGGGAUGAUUUUGAUGACUUUGAAACUCCUGUCAGAGGGAAGACUAGUACACUACUCACCUCAGUGGACUUACAGAGGACUAGCAAUGCUGGAGAUCUUUCCACUGUGAGUAAAAAGGACACUGAGA